rnacentral:rRNA from 1 species
UACGUAGGUGGCAAGCGUUGUCCGGAAUUAUUGGGCGUAAAGCGCGCGCAGGCGGUUCUUUAAGUCUGAUGUGAAAGCCCCCGGCUCAACCGGGCGGAUGCGGGUGAAACCGCGCGACUGGAGGGUGGGAGAGGUCGGCGGAAUUCCCGGUGUAGUGGUGAAAUGCGUAGAUAUCGGGAGGAACACCCGUAGCGAAGGCGGCCGACUGGACCACACCUGACGCUGAGGCGCGAAGGCCAGGGGAGCGAACGGG